GCCCUGGAAUCAUUCCCAACAGAAGCAAGAAUGUGUAUGAAAUGACCUCUCAGGGCCAUUUCCACAAGACUGUCUCCCUAUACCAGGGUUCCUCAACCUCAGCCCUAUUGACAUGUUGAACUGGACAGCUCUUCGUCAUGCAGAGGGCUGCCCUGUGCAUUGUAUAAUGUUUGGCAGCAUC